rnacentral:rRNA from 1 species
CACACCGCCCGUCACACCAUGGGAGCUGGAGGGACCCGAAGCCGGUGUGCCAACCGCAAGGAGGCAGCCGUCUAAGGUCAAUUCAGUGACUGGGGCG